rnacentral:misc_RNA from 1 species
CCCUUUUUUUUUUUUUUUUUUUUCCAUACCAAAGUUGUCGACAAUUGUACAAUUCCCUUACAGAAUAUUAAGACAAAAUUAUGUUCUUUACAAUAUGCUAAUCUUCCAACCAAUUCUUUUGAUAUGCUAUAAUUGUGUUUUAUGCACAACCUUCCUUUCAUCACCUGAAAGUAAUGAUGAAUCUUUCCUAAUGGAACAGAGAAAGUAGGUUGCUACUGUCCCAAAGUAAUUCAUACCACAAAAUCAUGGAACAAAUGGGAGGAAUUGAACCUGUGUUGCCUGUUCCCCGGAUUCAGGCAUUCAUAAUCUGUGUUCUCCGCCCCCACAGAAGAUGCUGCUGCACUAUAUAUACCAUCCCCUCUCAUGGAAACAAAACUGUGAUGGGCUGUGGUAGACACUGGUAGGUUACCACCCUCGCAGUGCUGCAACCCCAGCGUAAGAGACACUCCACUUCCAGUCCCAAACCCUCCCACCUCUGACAUUUGAUAAGCAGCAGCAGCUGCAGCAAUAAGCCUAUCAGCGCUCCCAUCAGAGUGAACAAUGGCAUCAGGGAACAGACCACAAUCAUCAACACUGGGCCUUUGCUCCUCCCUUAGCUUCAAUAACCCAUAUUCAGUAACAGCCUCACUGCGUGUCAUAUUUUGAAAAUUGCUUCUUGUAGUUGAUCCUCCCAUUUCUACAUCAGGAACACAGUCAGAUUUGGAAUCCAGCAAUUGUCCAGCACUGCAUCUUUCGUUUGCUGUUGAACUGGCACUUUGUUGCAUUUCUUCCCCUCCAUCUUCGUAGUUUCUCAAGUCACCUUUUGUUGCUUUUGUAGCAUUUUCAGAAGAAGAAUUAGAGUCCAUCUCUGCAUCACCAAUCUCUUCUUUGUACAUCUCUUCAACCAUGGGCUUCCAAAGUCGCACUCGUGCGUUGAUAAACCAAUUUGAGACCUGACUUCUAGUCAAGCCUGUCUGCCUUGCCAGCAUGAUCUUAUCAGAAUCCUUUGGGUACGGAUGAAGGAAAUGUUCAAACAGCCAUGCACGAAGAAUUGAAACAGAGCUUUCAGGUAAACCCCUUUGUGGCCUCCAUGCAUGUUGCUGCAUCAUUCCAAGCUGCUGAAGAGCUCUCUGUUGCCUGAUCUGCUGAUCCACAUACCGGAGACGAGUUAUUCCAAUCCCUUUACCAUUCUCUGAUGUUUCUUGCUUCCCCAGGCUUUUACGGGUAGCUUGAAUUUGGCCACUUAUUGCAUCUCGCAAGCACCGAAAGUGGCGGGAUAUAGUNUAGGGCAAGUGCUGAGUAUGGUUUAGCUGCACCACGUCCUGCUAUCACAUCAAAUGAUGAUACCACAAUCUGCAUCUGAUGAUGAUAUUGUUUGUAUCUUCUAUCAACCUCUUCCAACAUGGACAAAAGCUUACUCAACUUGUUCUGCAGUUCUUGUCUUUCAGCAUGUGAAAGCUCAC